UGGGUUCUAGUCUAAUCUGGCAGGACACUUAAAUUUGACUUAAGAGAUUGGUAGUUCGAAUCUACCGAACCCAG
rnacentral:tRNA from 2 species